rnacentral:lncRNA from 1 species
GCCUGCUUCUGCCCUCGUUAGGAGCCUGAAGCCGACUUGGCCUAGGUCGACGUAGUCGGUGAGAGAACCAAGGAGAUCCUGGAAGCGGCACUUCGCUUGCGGUUGUCUUUCUUCAGCUUCUCCUUCUCGUUUGCUAGUUCCGGUAGCUGGUUCGAGGCUGUGCACCGCCGCGGAACUGGGCAUGGAAGAAUGCGAAAGCUGGGUGUUUGGCGUGCGCUCAACUUGCCGUCCGAAGUGAGACGAGAUGUUAGAGUCGGCGGCUUCCCCCGGCAGAUCUUGCAAAGGACCUGCUUCUCCCCUCGCCGGACGUUUCCGUUAGUGACCUCCUACCAGUCGGGCACUACCUCGUGGAAGUCCUGCAAGCAAAUCAAAACUUCAUCAUGCAUACCAGAAGGCCAAAAAUUCUCAAAAUGAGCCAAUAUCUCUACAAAUAUAUAUAUUUGGGUUAUUUAUGGCUU